rnacentral:lncRNA from 1 species
ACACAGCCAAGAAAUUACAUUAUGAUACUGAGCUGUAAAGUUAACAUUAAUGUAACUUUAAUGAUUACAGUCCUGAUUCACUCAUGAUUUAACCCCGGUCUGAUACGUUGCUGUAUACAAAAAAGAUACUUAAUGUAAUACUACACUAAUGAAUCUUCAUCAGUAUGAUACAGAGUAUGGCUGCCAGUCACAUGGAGAGAAUCGGGAUUGCUUUUUUUACUUUUCUAAGGCCUA